AUAUAUAUAUAUAUAUAUAUAUAUAUAUAUAUAUAUAUAUAUAUAUAUAUAUAUAUAUAUAAAUAAUUAGACUCUUAUAAUUAAUAUCUAUAUUUUUGAUGUGGCGUUCCCAUCCAAUCAAUUAUUUUUUUUAAAUUUACUCAUCCCAUCAUAAUUAUUAAAAAAUAUAUUUUUAUUAUAUUUUUUUUCAAGUAAAAAGAUUUAGUUAACUGUUUAUUGAUAAUAUGACAUAAAUGUUACGUAGAAAACUUUCUCUAUAAUGAGAAGGAAGUCUAUACUAUAGCACUUACACCACGUCAUUAAUAAAUAAUCAAUUAUAAACGUGUGGAGGCGUUGCGAAGGGACUUCUUCUGGAAGGGUCGGGCAAGCCCUUCAAGGGGAGGUUAUAUGGUAGCUUGGAAAAAAAUUUGUAUGAGUAAGAAUGAAGGGGGAUUAGGUGAUAUCUCAUGAUGUCUCAAAUUGAAAACUUAGUUGUUUCACAUUUCCGCGAAGUUUAUUUAAAAAAAAAUAAAACAAAAUGAAUAGCAUGCUAUCUUAAGUUUCUUUUUCACACAUAAAAUUUUACAGAACUUUAAAAACAUUACAAAAAAUACUUGACAAACAUAAAAAAAAAAAAAAAA
rnacentral:lncRNA from 1 species